rnacentral:rRNA from 1 species
CGCUGGCGGCACGCCUAACACAUGCAAGUCGAGCGCUUCCCUUCGGGGAGGAGCGGCGGACGGGUUAGUAACGCGUGGGAACAUACCCUUUUCUACGGAAUAGCCUUUGGAAACGAAGAGUAAUACCGUAUACGCCCUCUUUUAGAGAUAUUUGGGGGGAAAGAUUUAUCGGUGAAGGAUUGGCCCGCGUUAGAUUAGAUAGUUGGUGGGGUAAUGGCCUACCAAGUCUACGAUCUAUAGCUGGUUUGAGAGGAUGAUCAGCAACACUGGGACUGAGACACGGCCCAGACUCCUACGGGAGGCAGCAGUGGGGAAUCUUAGACAAUGGGCGCAAGCCUGAUCUAGCGAUGCCGCGUGAGUGAAGAAGGCCUUAGGGUCGUAAAGCUCUUUCGCCUGUGAUGAUAAUGACAGUAGCAGGUAAAGAAACCCCGGCUAACUCCGUGCCAGCAGCCGCGGUAAUACGGAGGGGGUUAGCGUUGUUCGGAAUUACUGGGCGUAAAGCGUACGUAGGCGGAUUAGUAAGUUAGGGGUGAAAUCCCAGGGCUCAACCCUGGAACUGCCUCUAAAACUGCUAGUCUUGAGAUCGAGAGAGGUGAGUGGAAUUCCGAGUGUAGAGGUGAAAUUCGUAGAUAUUCGGAGGAACAUCAGUGGCGAAGGCGGCUCACUGGCUCGAUACUGACGCUGAGGUACGAAAGUGUGGGGAGCAAACAGGAUUAGAUACCCUGGUAGUCCACACCGUAU